GCGGUAAGUUCACAAAAACCUAGUUCAAAGUUUUUUGGAGUCGAACGAUUUCAAGCAGAAGCUGUUCGAGCGGUGACGGGUUAAGUGCGUUUUACGUUUAAUCGAAUCGAAAGGACCAACAUCCGUCUCCUUACAAGCAAAAUAUCCGAGCUUAACAUCAAUUGAACACAUGUGGAGCAUGGUCAGUAUAUCCUGCCUUUCCUCUACAGACUUUGGAGGUGACAUGAAAUGAGGUACCUCAAGACUAAAUUGAUCAGUACCAAGACGAGUGUCUUUUCCUCAAACUGUACAAUAAAAAUCAAUAAAAUCUAUCAACUGGA